ensembl:lncRNA
AUGAUGUUUAGAUGCUAUGUCUGUAAAUCACUGUUUGCUACAAUAGCUAAAUUAAUUCGACACCUAAAACUUGUACAUGGUUUAUAUCCUGGUAAGAAAUUUGGUCUGGUUUGUGAUCAGGAUGGUUGUUCCUUGCAAUUUAAAAGUUAUGAAGGGUUUAGAAAACAUUUAACUAGAUUUCAUUUGAGGGCUGUAGCAUCAAGCAGUGAAACUGUAUCUUUACAAAAUCAGCAAGCUCCAGAUCUCAAUGAAGCAGUAUCACUUGUUGUGUCUGACACAGAGCAAAGAUUACAUGAUGCGAGUUUGCAUGAAUGUUCUUCUGAUUCAAGGGAUAGUUCGAGGGAAAGGUGUGCAUCAAUAAUAGCCAAAUUACAGGGCAAUGGUGUUGCAAACAGUGUAAUCAUGUCAGUUGUUGAAAGCAUGGAGGAUUUUGUUAAUGAUUUCCAUACAAGUUUAAGGGAAAAUGUUUUAAAUGUUGUGCCUGUUGACAGCACAAGUAGAAGUUCAGUUGAAGAAGUUUUUAAUGGUUUUAAUAAUCCAUUCUCUGAUUUUAAUACAGAUACAAAAUGGAGAAAAUAUUUCAGUGAGAAAUGGGGGGUUGUUGAACCUAUUGAAAUACACUUAGGUGUCAGAUACGAUUCAAGAAGAAAUAAAAUCUCUGGGAUGUAUGAACAGACAACAGUUAAUGACACUUUCAUAUAUAUCCCUCUUCUGAAGACUCUUGAGUUCAUUUUUAGGAAUGAUAAAGUGUGUAAUCUUAUCCAAGAGGAACGGCAAAGUGACAUGUAUUGCGAUUUUUGUGAUGGACAGUAUUACAAAAAACAUCCUUUGUACUCCAUCCACAGCAAUGCACUUCAGAUCCAAAUUUACUAUGACGAUUUUGAAACCGCGAACCCAUUAGGAUCUAAAGCAGGAGUUCAUAAACUUGGCUGUUUAUAUUUUGUACUUCGUAACCUGCCAGCACACAUUAACUCUUCCUUAAUGAACAUACAUCUAAUUUCUUUGUUCCAUUCUGAAGAUGGAAAAAAGUAUGGCAUGGACAAAAUACUUGGCCCAUUGGUUGAUGAUGUGAAAGUACUUGAGAAGAAGGGAUUGAUGGUGUCAUUUUCUGAGGAGCCCAUCUUUGGUACUAUUUCGCAAAUUACCGGUGAUAACCUAGGUCUAAAUAGUAUUCUUGGUUAUGUUGAAUCUUUUUCUGCAAAACAUUACUGCAGACUCUGUCUCACUGACAAGGUGUUAGCACAGGAAGUAUUUAGUGAGGAUGAUCCACGGAUGAUAUUGCGUAAUAGAAAUCUAAAUGAGGAGCAUUACAAGUAUCUUGCUGACAACCCCAAUGAAAACUCAUGUUAUGGUGUUAAAAGAAAUUCUAUACUCAAUACCUUGACUUACUUUAAUGUAUCUGAGAACUUUGUGCUGGAUAUUAUGCAUGAUAUCCUGGAGGGAGUUGCACAGUAUGAAGUGAAACUGCUUUUUGAAUAUAUGAGUUGCAAUCUAAUUUCUGGUGAUUCCAUUCCUCAAAGAUUGUAUGCCUUCAACUAUGGCUUUUUAGAAAGAAAUAACCGCCCAACCAAGGUCAACCUUCAACAAGCAGGAAACAACAUUGGUCUCAAUGCAAGUCAGACAUGGUGUCUCAUUAAGAACAUCCCUCUCAUAUUUGGAGAUGUAGUCCCAGUGGGAGAUAAGCACUGGCAUUUGAUGUUGCUGCUCUUACAUAUUGUUAAUAUUAUCUUUUCUCCUUGCAUCUCUGAAGGAAUGAUAAUAUUUUUGAAGCAUCUGAUAAAAGAGCAUCAUCAGUUGUUUAAGGAUUUGUAUCCUAGGAAUCUAAUUCCAAAACACCACCUUAUGAUUCACUACCCUGAAUGCAUCAGACAAAUUGGCCCAUUGAUUCAUGUAUGGACCAUGAGGUAUGAGGCAAAACACAGGUUUUUUAAGAAAAAUCUAAAAAAUUUCAAAAACCUGACCAAAUCGCUUGCAAAAAAACACCAGCUAGCCAUUGCCUAUCACUGGGAGUCAUGUACUAUCAGGGGUAUUGAGUCUGGGCCUGUUUCAAAUGAGCUGUUGUCUGACCUUGAAAACUCAGAUUUUAUUUCAGAGCAACUCCAGAUUGAUAUCUCUAGCGAGGUAAUGGUCACACCGUGGGUAAAGUGUCAAGGUACUGAGUAUCGCAGUGGUCUUGUUGUUUUCUUAGAGUGUGUUGAUGAUGCACCUGUUUUUGGAAAGAUUGUUAAAAUUUUUAUUAAGGAUGGAAUUUAUUUUUUGGUAUCGUGUAUGGAAUCAGAGUUUAUUGAACACCUUCAUGCUUUCAGUGUUGUUGAACAAGAGCAUUGUCUUGUACUCAAAAAACCUGAGGAAUUGAUGUACUACAAGCCAUUUGAUUUACAAAUGUCCUAUGGCAAUGACCAUCUUUUUUACAUUGUCGUGGACUGUUAUUUGUAA